GUAGAGAAAAUGAACAAGUAAUGAGUUGCUUCACGAUCGUCAAGGAUAUCUAAAUAGGCUUGAUUAUUACGGGGAUUUUAAUCGCUUUCACUUCCUUGCUUUUCAAAAAGCGGCUUUAUACUUUUUUACGUAGAAGACGUAACCCCUUUCAUCCUAUAGCUAGUGAGACCUCUGAGCUAAGUUUUUCUGAUUAUCCAAGCCAGGAAGAAGCGGAUAGGGAUCUUAAUAGGUACAUAACGGGAAAGAGCUUGUUUAUAAUGACCAAAGCUCCCCCCACUUUGAAUCCAGUAACUUCUAAAGAGCAACGAAGAAGCUCUUUACAAAUAUUUAUCCGGUUUAGAAACACCAGAAAAAGAAACUCAAAUAGAGCGUAUUCUAAAAAUAUUAGCGUUACUCCAUUUUUAGAUAUUGUACUUAAGCUUGCAUUAAAGCACAAUAUUGAUCCAACUUUAUUCCAACCCAAAUUUGUCUUAAUAGCUUCUAAGAAUCAUAUUCGUAUAUUUACGUAUGCAUUUAUCGGUGGACCGGUAUGUGGCCCCGUUUUAAAUAAAUAUACGCUGUUUUGCUUGCGCCUGAAGACUUAUGCGUACGACCAUAAAGUGCACUCUGUAGAAAAAGAGGUAAAAAAAGAUAGCCCGGGAAAUAAUAAAAUUACAUAUUUCAUAAGUUAUGAAAUUUUCGGCACUUCGGAGGCCUCCAUGGCUGCCCUACAUGGAAAGGAUCAUAGUGCGAUCCAAGCUGAAC